UCGCACCAGCUUUCUAAACACAUGAAUAGGGAAUGCUGAACCAUUCUGUAUUACUUUUGUCCCCCUCCCCUUUGCAGAUUCUCUUUGUGAUGGCGUCAUUUAGAGAGGAACGUGGCUAACAAGACUGCGAUGUUCCACAUGCUUACAAGAAAAUCCUGUGGGGCUUCCUGAUGAAGGUGCCAGGCUUUAAAAGAUCACAUUGGAUUCAGCAGCGCUGAGUGAAGUGGAUCCUUCCGUAGUGACCUUCUCAGACCACCGCCUGGCAAUUAACCCACCUGACAGACUUGCGUCCCGGAACCGCCCAGCUCUGAAAAGUGUUUCAGCUCAGCGAAAGAUCCCUGGAGGAGGAGGAACCUAGCAGAGCCGUUCAGCUGCUAGGAUAAGUGACCCAUCUCUGCUCAACAACAUCUGCUGCUGCUGUUUCCUUAAUAUCUGAGCCCGACCCAAAUGAAGACGAUGGACUUUAUGGAGCUUGCCGAACCGACUGGGAGAAUCCGCAGUCAAUGAGAAGAGACA